ACACUUUGUUUGGUGGAGUCCUGACCUUGACCAGUAUGGUGUGUAUGCUGGUUCCUGGUGGAAAGGGCAGAAGGUUCAGCUCCCGGAUCUGGAGACAGUAGACUCUCUGGUGUCUUUGGCCAGCCGCUCUGUUCAAAGCACCUCCGCACAGCAGGAAUCUGUAAUAGCCGGCUCCACCUCAAGCAGAUACACAAUGUGUUCAGACAAGCCAUUCACAUGCUGCAAGAACAGGGCCUGGUGUUCCAGAAAACCAUGUCCUCAGAUGAAGUCUACUACGUUGGCAGGUGCGCCAAGUCCUGAAUAAGUUGGGAGUGGAACGGUGAUGUCACUACACAGCUCUCUGAGGAUGCCUUCUUUGCAGAAGCUGCUAGGAGAUCUAUACACAAAAGACCCAAGGCUGAUUAAGGGGAAGUGAGGUGGGGAAGGACAUUAGCGUUGCACCGUGCACUGAUGGAAGCCCAUGGGUGAUGCCUGUGCAACACUGAUAUGCUUUCCAGGUUCUAAAAAAAUGAGUCUUGAUGUAUCUUUUCUGAAGCACAAUGAUAUUAAGAAAUUAUAAGUGAUUGUAAGAAAUUAUACGAUAUGAAAACGGGUAUGAUAUAAAGUUCUGUCAUUUUAUAAUUAAAAUAUAUUUAUAUUCUUAAUAAAGAAUGGUGCUACAGCUUUACAGCAAAAUUAUAAAUGGUUUAUUUAUUUAUUUAUUUAUUUAAUAUUUAUUUUCCAAUAACAUAGAGGGUGCCAUUUAACUACAACCCUGUAAAACAGACAGUAGAACUAAAAGUUCACAUGUGAAUGUACUUUUUAGAAUGAAUACUAUUGUAUGUAUAAAUCAGCUUCACCUAACCCUUCACUCGUUAGCAUAUUUAGCUGCAUUCAGACUUCUUAAUUCAUAAUAUUUAGGAUAUUCAGAACAGCUUUGGCUAAUGCUGGUGAAUCAGCUGCAUGUCAUAUUUUUUCAAAGAAAUCAAAGAAAUGCAUUAAAAAUCAGCCCACAUGUCUGAUAACUUUGCAUCUGAGUAGUUCUUGCUGUUGAAAUGUCCUGUGUGCCUUCCUCGUGGAUGGUGAAAUAUUUGAUCAUGUUAUUUAGUGUGAGAUCUGACUUCUGUUUUAUUAGAGUAAUGAUCACAUGGAUGUCAUACUGGGUUACUGACUGUGAUCAUGCCACUGAAAGAUCUAAGUGUAAAUGACGAGUGUAAGCAAUGAGUAAUAGAAUUGAUGAAACUCUUAAUCACCAAUAAGAGGCAGUGCAUUGUGUGAAACUUACUCCAGUCUCAUAUAAACCAAUGAGUGCCUUUUGUCUGUAUCAAGGUUUCGUUAUUCAUCUAUCUCCAAUCUUGUACAUUUUUUUCCCCAAUAAAACAAUGAACGGAUGCAAUUCCACAAUUGUGUUUGUGGUUGUUUCCCUAAGUUCACUACCUGCAGAAGUGGCACUGCUUGGUACUGCCUAACUAGUAGGGCAGGACAGAGAAUGCAGUUACUUAAGAAAACAAACAAACUGAUACCAGCUUUCCUAUACACUGUCCCAUUUAACACUAUGAGCUACUAACCCUUUUCUAUCUCAAAGGAAAAUCAAACGUGUGUUGAUCAGAACUUACUAAAAAACAAGUGAUGUGUAUGUAGGAGCCCUGUGCAUACUCUAAUGGAUUGAAUGUCGCCAUAUAAGGAGAUAAUGCAGAUUCCGUAUUUUUUUUAAAUACAGCGUUUUAUAAG